AUAUGAUUGUAUUGCUUCUUCUUUUUAAUCAUGAGAGAGAUUAUUGUAUUGGUAAUGGCUUGUUUUGAAAAUCAUACGCAAAAUAUACCCAGAAAAUCAUUCAAACAUCCCCUUCCUGCACAUUCAAAACUUGGUAUUCCUUCAAAUCAUGACAUCCCAGUAAAUCCCUUUUUUGGUAUCUUUCGUUUGAGGUCAGUUACUUAAUAGUUCGAAAUACUGAUGUUUUUGACGCAUUAAAGAACUGGAUUUCCUUUUUCUUAUUGAGUGAGGUUUAACUUGAAUGUUGAAAUCAUUGAGCCUAUUCCAUAUGAACAUAUCAACAGUGUUGAAGAAGAAGAAGAAAGGAGAAUUAAAUAUUUGAAAUCAUUCUAUUUAAAGAAGUUGAAGCAAAAAUAUCACGAAUGCCAGGCCAAGCUAUGGCUUAGUUUAUUAUAGUAAUAAUGUUAAUCAAACAUGGAAUCAAGAAUGCAGACCAAGGGCUUAGUUUAUUGUAGUAAUAAUGUUAAUGUCA